UCCAGUCAACCCUAGGCCUAGACUAGGGUCCGGGUUUAUCUUUAUACACCCCGACACUAUUAUCAUGGACAUUCAUGAACCCCUCUGGUCUGUGGUACUCUGAGGCAUCAAAUAUGCACAGAUGCGUGCGCAAGCGAAUCCACCCGAAGCUGGGAUACUUGUGCUUCAGGUUAGGAAGACGAUGUAGGAGGGAAAAAGGGCGAAAUUGUUCCUCCCACAGGAAAAUUGCAGUGACCCCUGGAGCUAUGUGUAGAACAAACACGAGACGCCUUUUCCGCCCCGUGGCUGGCGCUGCCAACCUCAAGUCAGGGGAGAGGAGAUUACUUUCAAGCCGUCAAGGAUUUCGUGUUUACCUCCGUCCCCACAUCAUUUGCUCUGCUGACUUUUCACCUCUCAAAUCACGUGAACUAAGGAUGCCUCUUGCGCGGGGAAGGGAAAUAAGCUUCAAGAACUUCAACUCCUCACGUUCCAAGCUCUUACACUAGCGGACGGGAGAUGGUUGCUUCCCGUUUCACUUAUUUUCUCUCUCUAACCCAUUGAAGCUGUAUGUCAAUGUUUCGUUUGCCGCAGUACUAUAUACAUAAAUGGGACUUGCAGGAUCUGUUGCUACGUGUCUCUAGUUUCUUCAUUUUUAUGUGAAUGUGCAUUUAAUGAAUAUGUGUGUAUCUGGGUUGAGAGAGUAAGUGGGCAGGGAAAGCAAGUGAGUUGGAUGGAUGAGAAAGGGAAAGGGUGAGUGGGUGAUAAAAAUAAUGUGAGUAAAACAGUUAAGAAUACAGUCACUCCAGCAAUAGAUUCAUAUCCAAACACACACAACCCAGGUACACACAGCUCUACCAGUGUGUGGACACUCAUUGUCCACAGC